rnacentral:rRNA from 1 species
GGGGGAUAUUGGACAAUGGGGGAAACCCUGAUCCAGCGACGCCGCGUGAGUGAAGAAGUAUUUCGGUAUGUAAAGCUCUAUCAGCAGGGAAGAAGAGAGACGGUACCUGACUAAGAAGCCCCGGCUAACUAC